rnacentral:rRNA from 1 species
UAUCGUUUAUUUGAUAGUACCUUACUACAUGGAUACCUGUGGUAAUUCUAGAGCUAAUACAUGCUAAAAACCCCGACUUCAGGAAGGGGUGUAUUUAUUAGAUAAAAAACCAACGCCCUUCGGGGCUCCUUGGUGAAUCAUAAUAACUUAACGAAUCGCAUGGCCUUGCGCCGGCGAUGGUUCAUUCAAAUUUCUGCCCUAUCAACUUUCGAUGGUAGGAUAGUGGCCUACCAUGGUGGCAACGGGUAACGGGGAAUUAGGGUUCGAUUCCGGAGAGGGAGCCUGAGAAACGGCUACCACAUCCAAGGAAGGCAGCAGGCGCGCAAAUUACCCAAUCCCGAUACGGGGAGGUAGUGACAAUAAAUACUGAUACGGGGCUCUUUUGGGUCUCGUAA